GAUGAACGCUGGCGGCGUGCCUAAUACAUGCAAGUCGAGCGAACAGACGAGGAGCUUGCUCCUUUGACGUUAGCGGCGGACGGGUGAGUAACACGUGGAUAACCUACCUAUAAGACUGGGAUAACUUCGGGAAACCGGAGCUAAUACCGGAUAACAUGUUGAACCGCAUGGUUCAACAGUGAAAGACGGUCUUUCUGUCACUUAUAGAUGGAUCCGCGCCGCAUUAGCUAGUUGGUAAGGUAACGGCUUACCAAGGCAACGAUGCGUAGCCGACCUGAGAGGGUGAUCGGCCACACUGGAACGGAGACACGGUCCAGACUCCUACGGGAGGCAGCAGUAGGGAAUCUUCCGCAAUGGGCGAAAGCCUGACGGAGCAACGCCGCGUGAGUGAAGAAGGUCUUCGGAUCGUAAAACUCUGUUAUUAGGGAAGAACAAAUGUGUAAGUAACUAUGCACGUCUUGACGGUACCUAAUCAGAAAGCCACGGCUAACUACGUG
rnacentral:rRNA from 1 species